UGGGCUGUAGCUCAGUGGUAGAGCACUUGCCUCAUAGGUGUGAGGCCCUGGGUUUGAUCCUCAGCCCCACAU
rfam:Ictidomys tridecemlineatus contig029458, whole genome shotgun sequence.